rnacentral:lncRNA from 1 species
UGGUUUUUGUGGGUAUGGGUUAACCACGAAUUCAAAUUUUCAACGAAAUACAAAUUCAUAAUAGGCUUAAUAUACAGAAAUUGUCAAAACCACGAAAUCAAAUAUCCACGAAAACGCAGGUUUUCACCAAACCACGAAAAUUGAUACCCACGAAAAUAAAUGAAUCCACAGUACUAGUAGACACUCCACAAGACAAGUAUAUACCAAACUAAAGACUAGUACUAGUAUACACUCCACAAGACAAGUAGAUACCAAACUAAAGACUAGUACUAGUAUACACUCCACAAGACAGGUAUAUAUCAAACUAAAGACUAGUACUAGUAGACGCUCCACAAGACAAGUAUAUACCAUACAAAGACUAGUACUAGUAGACGCUCCACAAGACAAGUAUAUACCAUACAAAGACUAAGACAGAGUAUAUAGAAGACAAGUAUAUAUCAAACUAAAGACUAGUACUAGUAGACGCUCCACAAGACAAGUAUAUACCAAACUAAAGACUAGUACUAGUAGAAACUCCACAAGACAAGUAUAUACCAAACUAAAGACUAGUACUUGUAGACACUCCACAAGACAAGUAUAUAGUAUACAAACAAAGACUAGUACUAGUAGACUCUCCACAAGACAAGUAUAUACCAAACUAAAGAAUAGUACUAGUAGACGCUCCACAAGACAAGUAUAUACCAUACAAAAGACUAGUACUAGUAACAGCUCCACAAGACAAGUAUAAUAUAAAGACUAGUACAACUCCACAAGACAAGUAUAUAGCAAACUAAAGACUGUACUGUAACACCUCCACAAGACAGUAUAUAAAAACGAUAAGUUAAAAAACUAGUACAUAGACUUAGUGGAUCGCUCCUACUAGAGUCCACAAGACAGUUUAUACCAAACUAAAGACUAGUACUAGUAGCACUCCACAGACAAGUAUAUACCAUACAAAAGACUAGUACAAGUAGACACUCCACAAGACAAGUAUAUACCAAACUAAAGACUAGUACAAGUAGACACUCCACAAGACAAGUAUAUAGCAUAUAAACAAAGACUAGUACUAGUAGACAUCCACAAGACAAGUAUAUACGCAAAAAAAGAUAGUACUAGUAGACGCUCCACAAGACAGUAUAUACCAAACUAAAGACUAGUACUAGUAGACACUCUACAAGACAAGUAUAUACCAAAAUAAAGACUAGUACCAGUAGACACUCCACAAGACAAGUAUAUAGCAUACAAACAAAGACUAGUACUAGUAGACGCUCCACAAGACAAGUAUAUACCAAACUAAAGACUAGUACUAGUAGACACUCCACAAGACAAGUAUAUACCAAACUAAAGACUAGUACUAGUAGACACUCCCAAGACUAGUAUAUAGUAUACAAACACAAAGACUAGUACUAGUAGACACUCCACAAGACAAGUAUAUACCAAACUAAAGACUAGAACUAGUAGACACUUCACAAGACAAGUAUAUACCAUACAAACAAAGACUAGUACUAGUAGACGCUCCACAAGACAAGUAUAUAUCAAACUAAAGACUAGUACUAGUAGACGCUCCACAAGACAAGUAUAUACCAUACAAACAAAGAUGUCGGAUUCAUCUGGUUAGAAAAUAUUACAAGUCUCAGAUGUUCAUUAUCACAUUAAUUCCAAUUCAUUAGUAUUCAGACACAUUUUAUCUAUUUAAAAACUAUUUCGUGAUCACCUUGCAAUUUUUAAAGAGAAGAAAUUGAAUUCAAAACUACAAAAGUUUCUUUGAACAAUGAAGUAAGAAAGAACAGCACAAAGCACGGCUACAUCUGUAAAAUGUAUUACAACACAUUCUAUAGUAGAUAAACAUGAAUAUUGUAAUCAAUUUCUAUUUGAUUCUAUACUCCCACACGUGCUGCACGUGCUUUCAUCUGCCAACACGCGCAUGCAUAUCUCAACAUAAAGACUGGUUUGCACUUAACAUAUAAGAUAUAAAGACCUGGGGUGCCUUCACCUGGCAAAUAUUUUACCCAUUGUUUUGUAAUCAGUUAUGUCAAAUCAUUUUUUAGUGCACCAAAAAUAAACAAACGAGCUCCUUAGGUUUAAAAAAAGAACAUUUAGAUAUGUCAAUAAUGUGGAGUAAUUUUAAAUGAUAUACAUAAAUAGGAAACAAUUUGUACGUAUACUAGAUAUGAUCAGAUAUGUAUACUACAAUCGUCUGGUUUGUUUUGUAUAUGUCGAUCAUCAGUGAGGCCCCUCAUGGGGGGGGGGGUCUAGUAAAUCAAAUAAUCACCAUUUUUUGCCAAAUUAAUCACAUAAUCAAUUAAAUAUUUGCUUAUCUUUAGUAUCAAAUAAUCAUAAACUAAAAAUACAGUCUAGGUAAUCAAAUAAUCAUGAAAUAUUUGGCUUAAUAAUCAAAUAAUCAUUAAAAAAACGGCCAAGUAAUCACAUAAUCAAAAACCCCAUGAGGGCCCUCAUCAGUUUUGAAAAAUACUCGUUUCGGGGCUUUUUAAAGCUGAUUAUGCAAUACGAGCUUUGUUCAUUGUUGAAGGCCGGACAAUUAACAAUAAUUGUUAAUUUCUGUUUCAUUCGGUCUCUUGUCGAGAGUUGUUUCAUUGACAAUCAUACCAUAUCUUCUUUUUAUAUCAUCAGUGGUCUUGAUCAGUAAAUCAAUGAUCACCAUAACCAAUUGAAACAAUAAAACUUAGUUAACUUUAUUUUCGUCAAAAUCUAAAAUCUUUUACUUUGGUUUGGCACUCGAGAACAUAAUGGACGGCGUCUUAGUUAAGUGAUCCACAAUUACAUUUUGUAAUUUAAUUAUAGGAUUCUUCUUGGGUAUGCACUGCAACUAUAUAUAUACGUAAGUCUUGUAUGCAAAGUAUCAAGAAUUCGAUGUCUUUCAUCUAGUCCUCAGGGGCUUUACCAUAAGAUUUAAUCUUUUUCUUUGACAGAUACGAUUGGAGGAUUCUAAAAAGAUUUACUAUAGUAGUUAUACUUUUUUCGAUAUUGGGAAAGCUGAUGUCAUCAAGAAAUUAGCUGAUAUUCUCAGUCUGUGCCUUGGAGGCAUCUAGUUAUCUUUAUUUUGAAGUCACUCAAUCUGAUAUCUGGAGAGAUUUAAUUUAUAAAAUAUUUUGAAAAUUUUCCAUUGUACAGUUUAUAACAAAAAACUUAUUUCCCGUAAUUUUCUUCAAUCAUUUCUGAUUUACCACCCUGUUUUAAGUGAAUAUAAAGCAAAUGAAUGUAACGAAAAACGGUGAAUCAUUUUCGUGGUUUUAAAACAGGCGUGUUAUCAUUAUAUGGUAACCUAAAAGUCCUAUAGAUAUAUAUAUAAUGUUACUGUGGCUUGAAACAUUCUUGCAUGUACACAUUUGUCAGGAUAUAAUUGCCAGAAGAGAAAAAAAUAAACAUUCUGGUGUUUGCUAAUUGUUGAAGGUUGUACAGUGACCUAUAAUCCUAUAAUUGUUGAAGGGUGUACAGUGACCUAUAAUUGUUGAAGGGUGUACAGUGACCUAUAUUUGUUGAAGGGUGUACAGUGACCUAUAUUUGUUGAAGGGUGUACAGUGACCUAUAAUUGUUAACUUCUACGUCAUUUGGUUUCUGGUGGAGAGUUGUCUUUCUUGACAAUCAUACCACAUCUUCUUAUUCUUAUAUUCUAUACGUAGCUGCUAAACCAAAUUUGCUUUAUAUAGAUAUAUGAAGAUGUGGUAUGAGACAACUCUCUAUCUAAGUCAAAAUUUGUAAAGUAAACCAUUACAAGUCAAAGUACGGUCUUUAACACGAAGCGUUGGCUCAGACAGAACAGCAAUCAAUAGAGGGCUCCAAAAAUUACUAUAUAUAUCUAUAUCGAUUCGUGUUUGUGAUUGAUGUACUUUAGUGAAGAUUUUUUUUAACCAUUUGAAAACCCCUGAACGGAACUGUGUAAUUAUUAUGUACCUGUCGUUAGUAAAUUACAAUUACUUGGUAGACAGACAUGCUAUUUUAACAUUUGUUACUAUUUAUUUAAGAUAAAGUUGUGUUUACUUUUCGAGAUACAAAUUGCGUCCCCAAUCAAAAUCAAUUUAUAAGACAAUGGAGAUAUCAGGUUGGUGUUUAUCAGUUCAACAUUUGUAAUUAAAAUGGAAGGAUUCGUUUAUUUUACGCUAAAUGCAUGUGUGUGUUUCAUGUAUUUAAAUACAUAGAACAUAUCUUAUUAAUACUAUUGUUACGUUAAAUCAAAUAAGAAGAUGUGGUAUGAUUGCCAAUAGCUGUCCAACGUGCAGAGCCCAAACGAACAGUAUUCAACAUUUAUAGGUAUUAACCGUAUGAGUAGCAACAAGAAAAACACAUAUAUAUCCACUAUUUUAAAUUUUACUUGAUGAUAAUGUUGAACAAAUGCAUAAAAAAAAAUAAAAUUGUUCAAAGAAGGUUCUUGGUGUGUUUUUUUGCAUAUUCCCCAUUUCCAUUCUCAAUUUUACUCUUUGACAUAUUCCCCAUUUCCAUUCUCAAUUUUUUAAAAGUAUUAUGGCAGAACAAGACGAUUCUGUGAGAUGAGCAUGUUAUGAUGAAUUAUGAUGUAAUGGUGUUCUGUUAUUAUGUUUCUUUCUUUUUUGACAGCUAUGCAAUUGUAUUGCAAUAUUUUGUUUCAUUUUACAACAGACUCAGUUUUUUAUUUUAUUUUGGAAGUUACAAUAGACAAAUUUGUGUUUCAUUGCUUUUAUAUUAUCCGCAUGGUUAUAUUGUCAGCAUCACGUGGUCCAUACGAACAAAGGCAGAGUGAACUUAACAGAUGUUUAGUGUUCUAAUGAAGAUGCUGGUUGGUCAGAUGAUCCGGAUGUCAGAUGAACCGGAUUUGUUUGUAGGAUAAGAAUUUAUCCGCUUUUCUAGACUUUAAUUCAGUUCAGACGACAACUACCCCGGAUGACAUCUGUCUAUUGUUAACGGUACAUUCCAUUGAUGUUGAACUCACAUGACCUUUUUGUAACUCGCUCUGCGGUCAUUGACUGCGUGAUUUGAAAAAUUGAACAGAAGGUUCUAAGCCACAACUUGUGACAAAUUUAGUCAAUGAAAAUCUACCUUUGAACAUAUACAGAUGGCCAAAAUGAAUCAUGAUUAAACUAGUAAUUUAUUUCAAUAAAGCUGGUCUUAUUUUAGAAGUCAAAAGGUUUUAAUGGCAAUGUCAGUCUUUUAAAUUACAUAUUCCUUUUUAACAAGGUCACAAGUUCCAAAGCACUAAUCCCAAGGGUGACUGGGGUAUAGAAAUAUGGUCACUUGGUCUUCUCCCGACCGUCAGUAAAACGCUUGCCGAAGUGGGGCGUCCGUUUGGCUGUGCGGGAUGUAUCAAGUUCGCAGUCACGUCCGGUCAGAAGGGGGACGUUAAAUCCGAUGCCUCGUGUAAAGAGAGUGCCACGCUGUUUGCACGUUAAGAACCCUUGCAACAACUCUUUGAGGGGUCCGUAGGUGGCCUGUUGCAAGGCAAAUUUCUGACCCUAUCCAAUAUACCCUCAUUUUCCAGUGGCAGUCCAAAUUUCCCUGACCAUCAUCCCAGAUGGCCUCUAUUGUAUCAACCUACUAUUGUAUUUAUUGUGAACUUGUUCUCGUCCUGAAUAUGCAUGAAAUAUUUGCCACUGGACGUUAAGCAACCAACAAUCAAUCAAUCAAUCCAAAGCACUAUUUCAGUUGAGUACAGAACACGAAUUUUCAAACAUACAUUUUCAGACACGCUAAUUUGUAUCUCUAUAGAAGUCGCUCCUCACUAUCCUACUACCUGUCGAUACAUUUAUUUUUGGCAUUGCACAAGUCAUGUCUUUUCUUAGACUAACUGUUCAUGACGUUAAAAUACUAAAUCCCUGGGAUGUGUUUUAGUUGAUUUUAGUCUCUGAUUCAUGAUUUUUUAUUAUUAAUUUUUUUCGACUUUUAACUAGCUGUCAGUAACUGCGAGUACUGUCAAAUCGUAUUUUCUUGUUAAUUCGACCUGUUGAUACUGUUUGUAAUGCUUUUUUGUUAUUUUAUAUUAAUAUGGAUCUUGUCUAUAUACCAGCUUUGAUUAUUUGGAAUAUCUUCUAAUUUUCAACUACAUUUGUAUAAACUUCAAGAUUUACCUGUAUUAUUAAAACCGUUUUUUUUUUCAAAAGUUAUUAUUUUCGAAGGGUUAAAUAUUUCGCAGUGGUGUCUUGCCAUGGCUUUGUUUGGACUUGUUUGUUUGCUUUUUGGCCUUGAAUGUUUGUCCCUAAUGUUUUAAUAACUGUACAUUUGCAUUCAGAUAUCGCAGAUCAAAUUUAUUCGUUCAUAGUGUGUUAAUUUACGUUUUUGAUUGAGUUAAGCUGAUUGAUAUUUUAUCUUGUGUUUUUCUAUGUUAUGAUGUUAUGCUAUUGUUUGAGAAAAAGGGAGAAGGUUUGGUACCAUUAAAACGUUUAAUUCCGCUGCAAAUGUUUGCACCUGUCCUAAGUCAGGAAUCUGAUGUACAGAAGUUGUCGUUUGUUUAUGUAAUUUAUACGUGACCGUUGGUUUUCCCGUUUGAAUGGUUUUACACUAGUAAUUUUGGGGCCCUUUAUAGCUUGUUGUUCGGUGUGAGCAAAGGCUCCGUGUUGAAGGCCGUUCAUUGACUUAUAAUGGUUUACUUUUAUCAUUAAAUUGCUAUUUGGAUUGAGAGUUGUCUCAUUGGCACUCACACCACAUCUUCCUAUAUCUAUAUAUACAGUGUGGUGAGAUUGGCGUAAAAAAUUGGAAAUAUCGAUAACGACGAGACUCCGCUUUAAAAGAUAAAUAUUAAGAGUAUACCCUUCAAUUGAAAAAAAUGAUACAAUCUUAUGAUGUUCUAUUACACCCCUGUCCUAGGUUAAAAGUGGAUUGGGCUCUAACACAAUUAGUUUUCCAUGUCUGUUCACUACAUGUUAUAUUAUCAUUCAGAUUUGGUUUUCUCAAUUGCUAGCGAAGUAAUUGUUUACUUUAAUAUAUAUGAAAAUGAUAUUAUAUUAAUUCCGUGCGUCCGAAUCUCUUUUAUCAUGAACUCUCAAACUUAAAAAAAUGAAUAAUCUUUGUUUUUUUUGUCUUAAUUGAUAGUUGUUUCAUUGGAAGUCGAACCACAUUUCCACAUUUUAAUAUCUUAUAUCAAAAUCAAAUUCAAACCGUUGUUAUAAAAUUUUGAGAUGUAUAUCUAUAUGACGUUCAUGAAACAUUUAUAUAACAUAAAGCUCGUGCAAGUUAAAAUAUAUAUUCUGUGAAAUCAGAGUUGUCUUUUAUCUAAAAUUCUCAAUUUACCUUUGAAAUAUUGAAAAGAUAUCUUAUUAAGAAAACAGAAGUUUAUAAUCAUCAAUAUCGUGGGGCUAUGUACUAAUUUGUUCUCAAUCUUUGAAAUAUGAAACAUCGCAUGAGUUUUACAUCGAUAACGGGAAAUUAACGGUGAAGAACUGGAAAUAUUAUAAGCUGAUUAACGGUCCAUUGACGGACAUUGAGUUAUAUAAAUGACCAAGCAGAUGUUUCUCGUCUCCAAACAAAAGAGUUUCUUAUUCAUUAAAACGUAUAGACUGUCAAAGAAUUAUCCCCGUAGUAAUAAGCGCUUUAAUCACGAGGACUUUGCUGUAAUCUGAAGUAAAAAAAACAAUAUGCUGAAUGACCAACCCAACACACUAUGUGGUCGUCAAUGACCGCAUAAUUCAAGUGCUAGAAUUUAUAAUAGAAUAUAUUCAAAAGAUGUAAAACUUGAAAUAACAGAACCUUGUAUUACAAUAUGUCAACAAUCUACAAAAGCUGAUAAUAAAUUUGCCAGGGACUAUUUUCACCGCAUAAAAUAAACAACAUCCCAAAUUCCUCCACAUAUGUAAGUUGAUGCACCUCGUAAACAAUAGAUGUCCGCAAUUAGCAACCUAGUAGAAAUAGCAAUAUUGGAUUUUCCUAAAAUUGUUUGCUUUAUUGGUGAUAUUAUUAUAAUACUUAAUGCACAUUUUAUUUCAGUUUUUAAUCUAACUGAUUUGUUAAUUAACCUGAACAGAACAUUAAUGUUGCUUUAUCUAAAAAUAAAGAUGAGUGGAGACUUGAAGUUUUAGUCUGUGAGCUCUGUUUUAUCCUAGUAAUAAAGAUAUAUAAUAUUUUGUCUCUUAAAGCAAUAUGUGCAUCUUCGUCUGUUUGUCACAUGGUCUGACAACACCGUUUCACUUUCUGUUCUGGCAAUCAGUACAUCAGCCAAUGAAAAUUCAGCCUUCAAAUUUUGGAAGGUAUGUAGUAUUCCGAUAAAACCGGAGGAUCACGAAAGUUCUUCAAAACAGAAAAUAUAACGGAACGUUUUCAUAUCCUUGGAAGCAAAGUUUGGACACAAUAUCUGUAUUUUAAUCAGAAAGGAAAGCCGUCACUCUUCAAUGACUUCCAAACUAAUCAGAAAGGAAAGCCGUCACUCUUCAAUGACUCCAGAAAAGCUGCAGGAAAUUACAGCUUAAAAAAAUCAAUUUCCUAGCUCCCUAUGUUUGAUUAUGUUUGAUUUUUUAAGGACAACAUUUUAUAUUUAAUUUUGCUCUUGAGUUUAAUCUGUAAUGGUUUUUUUUAAUGGAUAUUUUGAUUCCAGGAAGCAACAAUGAUAUAGCCGACAGUGUUUCUCAAUACCAACCUUAUUCGCGGAUCAUUGAACAUCAGUGAUUGAAUCGCAAUCUCGCAAUUAAGAUUAUAAUGGAAAUGUCUUGUUAUAUUAGCCUCGUCCUGAGAAUGACAUUAGUGGCGAUCAGUUUAGCGCCAUAAAAAUGUAGAUUACAUCUAUGAUUUCUUUAAAUAAUUUAUUCUGAUUUACUUCUAUCAGAGCUAUAUAUAUAUAUAUAUGUGAAAGCAAAUUUACAGAUCUAACAUUGUUGGGUUGAUGUUUAGACGAGUUGUAUAUAUAUAUAUAUAUAUAUAUAUAUAGAUACAAAGCUCUGGUUCCUAGUUCGGAUUUUUCUAUAUGUAUUAUGUAGUUUAGGUCCCCUGUUCAGCGUUUGUAAUAUGUUUUGGAUAUUCAAAUAUUUGGUCUCGAGCAUCACUAUGUACACAGUAUGAUGUUUUUGUUUUUGUUUUUGUUUUUUUUUUUGUUAUCUAAAUGAAAUUAAGGGAUCCAUUUUUACUUCACCAGUGCUUUUAGAAGCCUUCAUUCAGUAGAUAAUGAACACUAUGCAUUUUCUGUGUAUAUAUAAUGGUUUUCCGUCUGCUCAUAUUUGUUGGAAAUUCGUCGAUAUUUAGCUGACACAAAUCUAAUGUGUUUGAGAAAAAGCAAGCCAUUAGAGAUUAAUAAACUAUAGAAUCAUUUCAAUGUAAAGUAAUAACAAGACCAGAUUUGCUUAAACUUUCACAUAAAUCCAUCCUUAUAUUGAUAGAUAAACACGAACUCAAUUCCCUGGAGAGGUUUGCUGCUUCCCACAUUAUUGAGGAAAUGGUUUAUUGUGACAGAGGUAAAUGUGACACAUGAAUGAGAAACAUUUUCUAUGUAAUGCGUGCCGUUAGUUUUCUCGUUUAAAUUGUUUUACAUUGUCAUUUUGGGGCCUUUUAUAGCUGACUAUGUGGUAUGGACUUUGCUGCUUGUUGAAGGUCGUACAGUGACCUUUAGUUGUUAAUUUCUGUACCAUUUGGUCUCUUGUAGAGAGUUGUCCCAUUGGCAAUCAUGCCACAUCUUUUUUUUUUUUUAUAUAUUUACCUUACUUGGAAUAAUAAACAUGCUCUUCAACUUCCUCUAUUAAACCAUUUUGUAAUAAGUUUAGCUUAGCCUUUGACCACUUAUGAGUAACUUCAGGUUUCAAUGGUGAAACUGAAGUCGUUAUCAUGUUGAAAUAUCAUUGAAAUUCAGAUAUGAAUUACUCGCGAUAUAAUGUUUUCAUAAAGCUUUUCUGACCACUCGAUUAUUGUUUAAGGUUGGGGUUUUUUUUGGGGGGAGGGGGGAGGGGAUAAGGAAGCGCACAUUGAAGAAGUUGUGAUUGUACAAAAAGUCAUUGAUUUUCCUUUUGCAUUGAAGUGACUUAUAUAUGAAUGAGUAACAUUUUCAAUUUGAAAGCAUUAUUGUUCAGUUAAAUAAGCGCUUCAAUACCGAAGCACAGUACUUCUUGACAUAUGAUUAGCAGGAACUACAGCAAUCAACAAAUGAUAACACCUUUUUUUCUUCGUACAUGCGAUAGGCUAACUUUUAAUCAGAUUUAGUCUGUUAUUACUCUAUAGUUAUAUGAGCAAAGACACCACAUUUGACAAAGAACAGAAUCGACCUAGACUUCACGUAGGACUAAUUAAAGCUGAUUAAUACUAUGCCCGAAAGGCAACCAGUUUCCUGUCACUAUCGAAGUUUGUGUGUACUUUCAGUACAGAAAAACCUAAAGAAUAAAAACGACCCACGUGUCAUGACCACACUACAAACUAUCGCCACUUCCUCCUUGAUUCCAGUAACACAUGUCUUCAAAAACAUUAUGGUACAUUAAAAGAAACAAAUUGCUUGCGGGAUACAGUUUGAUUAACUAAUAACUCACUUGGACAGAGACACUCGGAAUCCAUUUUAAUUUCAAACGGGAAUUGCUAUAUGAAUGUGACAUUUGAAAUUAGGUUUGUUAGUCGUAAGGAAAAAUAAUAUUGAGACGAAGCCUACUUUUCCUGAACGUGCAACAUUUGUAGCACCUUCUUAAUAUUUAUAUCCUAAUUAUCUAAACGUUUGGAAUGCUCUUAACUGAACGAAAUUAUAAGUUGACCGAUAUUCGAUAAAUCAUCCGUACACGAUCCGUCAGCAUCUAUGUAAUUUAUCUUUAGUUAAUUAGUACCGACAUGUGCCAUUAUAGUUCUUCUAAAGAAUUAUGCGAUAUUAUUUAAACUUUUCAAAUGUUGGGUUCAAUCAAUUGAACAUGUAAUCAAUGUCUGUUUCUAACCUGCCCGGAUGUCGAUUUUGUGUCAAUCAUAGACAGCUAAACCCGUGUUAAUCAAGGCUGUCAAUAACAUGCAAGAUUCUAAGACGUCCGCAGAACGGAAAAUUAAUUGAGUACUUUGGUAUCCUGAGGAAUUUUUACUUUCAUUGGGGCUACACACAGGCACAUUUCUGAUUAUAAUCCGAAGUUGGAACAGUCAGUACAUUAAAACGUUUAAUCCCGCUGCAAAUGUUUGCACCUGUCCAAAGUCAGGAAUCUGUUGUACAGUAGUCGUCGUUUGUUUAUGAAGUUCAUACGUGUUUCUCGUUUUUAUAUAGACUAGAACACACCCGCGAAAUCGCGGGCAUAUACAGCUUGUAGACUGUUGUAGGAUGAUUUUUUGUAAAAGAUAUUAUGUAUGGAGAAUUUCAUAAAAGGUAUCAAAAGCCCUCUCCGUUUUUCCAAAGUCCGAUAUUUGUUUCCUUUCUGUUAAAUUCAAUUAUUUUCGUGUUUCUGGCCUCAGACUACAAUUAUUCUCCUUUGCUACAAUGCAUCUUUUGGUAAAUGUCAAAUCAAAUUAAAAAAUUGCACCGUUUCAAACAUGAAAUAAAUGUAACUGCUUAUAUAUAGACCAUUAUUAGUCUAAUAAAAAAUACUUCUAGGACAAUCCAUCAGUGUUUUCUUUUCUUUUGAGAGCCUUAUUAACAUGCCAAUGGUAGGAUAUGAAUCAUGUAUAAAUGACUAAGGCUAAUUUGAGGGGUGAUCGGACGGGUCCUGAUCCCGAAAUCCCGGGCUUAAAACCAUGAAAUCCCGAGAUGCAGAAUUUAAAGAAAUGCAUAUCCCGAAAUCGAAAAAUAUAUUCCCGGAUCCCGUAAGGAUCAAUUCCCAAAUCCCGAGCUUAAAAACACCCGAUCCCGACGCCCCGAAAAAGGUCCUGCCUACUUCUAAUCUCUACCUUACUUUCAUUUUUUGCCAAAUCACUAUUUUCCCUUUCAACAAUAAAUUGUUAUGCCCCAUUUAUGGGCAUUAUGUUUUCUAGUCUGUACAUCCGUUCGUUCAUUCGUCCGUCCGUGUCUGUCCCGCUUCAGGUUAAAGUUUUUGGUCGAGGUAGUUUUACUUAUUUUAAUAUAUAUGCAAGUGGUAUGACCCCUUAAAUAGUAAAAAUUUCAAUGAAAACAGUAGACAGAAUCAGGGCCGACUUUCUAUACUAACAUACUAACAUACUAACAUAGAAAGUCCCUGACAGAAUACAGACAGUCUCUAUAUAUUAAAGUAGUAUAAUCGUAGUUUACAUGUAGAUAUAUAAACGCGAAAAUAAUUGUCUUCUCUAAGGAGGUAUAAUAGUUGUGGUUCUUGCGAUCUAAACACCAUGAUAUGGAACGCGAAAAGUAAUUGUCCUCUCUAAGGAGAUAUAAUAGUUGUGAUUCUUGCGAUCUAAACACCAUGAUAUUGAGAACGCUCUGAAUGGCUUAUUUUUUUCCAUUUUUGUUAUCCAUCAUACGAUUGGUUGUCAAGUGACAUGUGUCAAAUGUUUUUCUUAUUUUAAUAUAUAUACAACUGGUAUGACCCCUUAAAUAGUAAACAUUUCAAAGAAAAACACUAGACAGAAUACAGAGAGUCUCUAUAUAUUAAAGUAGUAUAAUCGUAGUUUACAUGUAGAUAAACGCGAAAAAUAAUUGUCCUCUAUAAGGAGGUAUAAUAGUUGUGGUUCUUGCGAUCUAAACACCAUGAUAUGGAGAACGCUCUGAUUGGCUUAUUUAUUUUUCAUUUUUGUUAUCUAUCAUACGAUUGGUUGUAUUUGUGCAUCUUUAAAACCGGAAGUCUUAUCUAUGAAUAAAAGUCAGUCCGAUGACGGAAUCAUAUCCGGACUCCUGUUUUGUCGUUUUUCUCCCAAAAUAACUCAAUCUGAUUAAUCAUAAGAAUGGAUGACAAAUGUGACUAUGCAUGUUACCUAUAGGACACAGAGGCAUGAUGAUUGAUUUAUUGUGGAAGGAAGAGAAGCGACACCCAAAAUGAGGUCUUCUCGUUUAAUAGUAUAGAUGAGACCGUUGGUUUUCUCGUUUGAAUUGUUUUACACUAGUAAUUUUUGGGCCCCUUUAUAGCUUGCUGUUCGGUGUGAGCCAAGGCUCCGUGUUGAAGGCCGUACCUUGACGUACAAUAGUUUACUUUUAUAACUUCUUAUGUGGAUGGAGAGUUGUCUCAUUGGCACUCAUACCACAUCUUCCUAUAUCUAAGUAAUCCUACAGAGAUAUAUCUUUGUAUUUUUGAAAUAGAUAUGUUGAAAUCUCUUUUUUUGGUAUGCUGUCUCAUUGAGCGACAUUUAUCAUGCAUACAUCAUCAUGAUGUAUACAUGCAUAUGAAAAGAAAUAUCCGUAAGUUAAGGUCCUCAUGCCGCCAGUAUUUAUCAUACAGAACCAUUAUGUACGGUUCCGUAUAUUUUUGGAUUUCAUACCAGAGGGGGAGGACAGGGGUAAGGGAGACAGGGAGAAAGGGGGUAGGAGAAAGGAGAAAGGGGGUGGGAGAAAGGAGAAAGGAGAGGAAGGGUGGGAGAAAGGAGAAAAAGGUGGAGAAAGGAGAGAAAAUAAAAUAUCUCUCCUUUUAAAAAAAUUUCUAAUAUUUCAAGAAAAAAUAUCUCAAAAGGAGAUGUUUUAUUCUAAUGGGAGAAAGGAGAACGAGGGUAGGAGACAGGAGAAGAGGGGUGGGAGAAGGGAGAAGGGUACCCCCCUGUCCUCCCCCUCAUACCAGCUUUGUUGCAUGCUUCGAUGACUGAUCUAUGUGCAAGAGAAAGCGUUCUUAUUCUAUACUUGUUUUCUUAUAAGGAUUGUGUUCUAACUUUUGGAGUAUGACAGCUGAAUUUACGCUUUGAUCAAAAUAUAUAAAAUAUUAGCUCAUAUACAAAUAUUUUACCAUAAUAAAGCCUUUCAUUGAACAAAAAAAAAAUCGGACACGAGUAAAAGUACUCGCAAUUUAUGUCAUAAACAUCUUAUAAAAAAGAAGAUGUGGUAUGAUUGCCAAUGAGACAACUAUCCACAAAAGACCAAAAUGACACAGACAUUAACAACUAUAGGUCACCGUACGGCCUACAACAAUGAGCAAAGCCCAUACCGCAUAGUCAGCUAUAAUAGGCCCCGAUAAGAAAUGUAAAACAAUUCAAACGAGAAAACUAACGGCCUUAUUUAUGUAAAAAAAUGAAUCUUAGUUUGACAUACGGUCUUAAGACGUUUAUUUUUGACGUUUUAUACGACUUUAGACGUUUUUAUUUAUUGUAAAAAAAAAAGGCCUUGUUUUGGAAUGCAUCACAUUGAGAUCAAUCGUCACAACUCGGCCGAUUCCGUACCUCAUCUACGGAGAGAAACGGAGUCAUCCGAGGAUUGCCGAUAGACAUUGUCAUGUCACAUUAGAAUUUUAGAAGGAAAAAUUGACAGAGACUUUUCCCCAAUCAUACCCUCUUUUAACAUUGAUUUGUAGAAAAAAAGAUGAUUAUCUUGAUAUUCCCAAGUUUAUGGCUUCAUUAAACACAGAAAUCCUUACAAAGUCUUGUAACGCUACUAAUUAACCAUAGUGAAACGCCAUUAACACAUUAAUAUACGCGGUCCUUUAACCUGUCUUUACCAGGGAUCUGUUGAAUACAAAGACACAACUCGCUAAUGAACAAAUGUCAACGGAAACACAGAGCACGGCUUCUUAUUGUUGUCUUUUCUUUGUUUCCCAAGCAUGGACUUGUCUCCAAUCAAUAACAGUCUAAAUGAGAUAUUUGUUCAGACUCUCAGAAAAUAAUUCACGUCCCCCAUUAAGACAGUAGAAAGUUAGUAGUUAAAACCUUUCUGUAACCUUGAAUUAAAGCUACCUUGUUGGCGAUCGUUUCUUCAUCAGUAUAGUUCUCAGGGCUAAAAAAAAAAAGCCUCUUGUAUUGUUUAAUAUUGAGGUAAAGUAUUUCAGUUGCAAAAAGGUGAAAUAUAUUGUCUGCUCGAUAAAACCUGUUGAAGAAAACAAACAACAUGUUAGUUUAUUGUAACAGCCAAAUUAUAUAUUUCAUCUCCCAUAAAUCUUUGCACCCUACCGGAAGUAACAAUUUAGAAUAACUUGGUAAUUAUACAAAUUCUAUGAAUACCUGAAGAAAAAGAUGCGUAACACUUAUAAACAUUAUUAUCUAUUAACUAAAGAUGGGUGAUUUAUUAGCUUGCUAUCUGCACAUGAAUUUUACAGAGACAACUGCGGAGGGUUAUCAGGCAGUAGAUCGGUUGGUGUUAUUUUGCCAACUUUGAAGAACAAUUGAGUUAUUACUUAUCUUGCUUGUUAUCGAAGUAAUUAUCGUUUGUGUUUUGAUUCUGUUACAGCAGAUUUCAUUUAGUGUGUAUUCAAAGGUAAUAUCGUUGGUUAGCUUGCUUGUUAGCUGAACCGUGAAGUCAUUGUUAGGUCAGGUAAACUAUCCUCCUUUAAGAGUAGACUAGUCCGGCAGAUAACCAAUCUAUCUGUCUGUUGGACUAGGCUAUACCGAAAGAAGGGUAGUAUACCUGACCUGAUAAUGAAUUCACGGUUCAGCUAACAAGCAAGCUAACCAAAGAUACUACCUUUGGCUACAUACUCAAUGAAAUCUGCUGUAAAACAAUAAACAAUUACGGACUUCUGAGGAGGGUAUAUCCGGACUUCUGAGGAGUGUAUAUCCUCUACUCAAAUGGUCGUUAUUGUUUUAUUAUACAGAACAAAUAUUCUAUUUCAUUCAAAUUGGCCUGUGGGUAAAAAACGAACAAGUAUUAUUUUUCGAAGUUAUUCAGCGGCUCUGCUGAUUUGGACAAAUAUAUCCGAUUUAACUGUACACCACGUGAUCAUUUAUUUGCCAAUAGAUUACAUCAAUUAUACUGUGAGUUAUGAUAAAAUGUACUUGCUGUUUUGUGCUCUUUGGUUGGGUUGUUGUCUCUUUGACAUAUUACCCGGCCUUUUCAAUUCUAGGCUUUGUUUAACUGCUCACGGUUAUCUAAAUUGAAUUGAUUCAAGCGAAUUGAGAAAUGAUCUGCAUAUCAACAAUGCGACCACAAUAAAGAAGAAACAAUUAAGAGUGCCACUUGCAAAAGGGGCUUUUAUUUUUGGAAAGGAGUGCAAAUACAACUUGGAAACAGGCCGCCUAAAACAAUCAAACUAUACGUCCGGAUAUUAGACCCCGUAAGGGGGAUCUCUAACUGUCUUCUACCAGUAGAUCUGAUCUAGAAAAUUGAGAUAUUUAUAUGAAAUUAUACAAUAACCUAAAAACAGAAACAUAUAAAACUGCAGGAAGAAACUAAAUAUAAGUUUCUUGUCAUGGAUGCCAAGUUAGUAUGAUUGUAUCAGGAAAUGACAAAAUCGUUAAAAUUGUCGUUAAAUUUUUUUGGUCGUUAUUUCAGUUCUUCGUUCUUCAAAAAGUGUAAUUUUAUACACAAUUCCCUAGUAUUAGUUUCAAAUCAGAUCAGUGUUGUCAUGGGACUAAGGAAUUCACUUCCAAUGUCAUUAUUAUUUCAUUAAAAGAUAGUCGAUAAAUUUGACAUUAAAAUGUAUAAUCUCAAAUAAAUUGUGUCAGCUACAAGAAGAAAUAUUAAGUAAGGCUCAAAGGGGAGUUUUUCAGAACCUGAAAGAUUUGAGAUAUUCUUAUGCCAGUAAAUGGCAAACAUGAAAAUUAAGUAUCAAAGCACUGAUAAUGUGUAAAACUUGAUAAUGGUUCAGUAAGGACUGUUCAUCAUUUAUUGUUCAUUCCGUGUUAUAUUCUUCCUACAUACGCCAUCUCAUUAAACUUGCACUUUGUCGAAGAAUCUUAUUCAAUGGUAAAGAUACAAAAUUAUUUACACCUGAAAAAAUACAAGUAUAUAGCUUUCAAGAUUGAUAACGUUACUGUAGAAUAAGGUUGCAUGUAAGGACUUUACGUAUGGUUGUAUGUAGGUCACGAUUGACGUUACAAGAGAGUAGGGUUGUAUGAAGGUCAACGUUGGUGUUACGUAGGAUUGUAUGUAGGUGAACGGUGACGUUACAUAGGGUUGUAUGUAGGUUUAACAUUGACGUUACGUAGGAUUAUAUGUAGGUCAACGUUGACGUUACGGGAGAAUACAGUCGUAUGAAGGUCAACGUUGGUGUUACGUGGGGUUUUAAGUAGGUCAACGUUGACGUUACAUAAAAUUAUAUGUAGGUCAACGUUGGCGUUACGUGGGAUUAUAUGUAGGUCAAUGCAAGGACUUUGCGUAUGGUUGUAUGUAGGUCCCGAUUGACGUUACGAGAGAGUAGGGUGUAUGAAGGUCAACAUUGGUGGUACGUAGGAUUGUAUGUAGGUGAACGUUGACGUUACGUAGGGUUGAAUGUAGGUCAACGUUGACGUUACGUAGGAUUAUAUGUAGGUCAACGUUGACGUUACGUAGGAUUAUAUGUAGGUUAACGUUGGCGUUACGGGAGAAUACAGUUGUAUGAAAGUCAACUUUGGUGUUACGUAGGAUUGUUUGUAGGUGAACGUUCACGUUACGGGAGAAUACAGUUGUAUGAAGGUCAACGUUGAUGUUACUUAGGAUUGUAUGUAGGUGAACGUUGAUGUUACGUAGGUUGAAUGUAGUCAACAUCGACGUUACGUAGGAUUAUAUGUAGGUCAACGUUGGCGUUACGGGAGAAUACAGUUGUAUGUAGGUCAACGUUGGUGUUACGUAGGAUUGUAUGUAGAUGAACGUUGACGUUACGUAGGAUUAUAUGUAGGUCAACGUUGACGUUACGUACGAUUAUAUGUAGGUCAACGUUGGCGUUACGGGAUAAUACAGUUGUUUGAAGGUCAACAUUGGUGUUACGUAGGAUUGUAUGUAGGUGAACGUUGACGUUACGUAGGGUUGUAUGUAGGUCAACGUUGACGUUUCGAAGGAUUAUAUGUAGACCAACGCUGAUGUUACGGGAGAAUACAGUUGUAUGAAGGUCAACGUUGGUGUUAAGUAGGAUUGUAUGUAGGUGAACGUUGACGUUACGUAGCAUUAUAUGUAGGUCAACGUUGGCGUUGCGUGGGAGAAUACAGUUGUAUGAAGGUCAACGUUGGUGUUACGUAGGAUUAUAUAUAGGUCAACGUUGACGUUACGAAGGAUUAUAUGUAGGUCAACUUUGACAUUAUGUAGGGUUGUAUAUAGGUCUAUAGGUGAACGUUGACUUUACGUAGGGUUGUAUGUAGGUCAUUGUUGACUAUACGAAGGGUUGUAUGUAGCUCAACGUUGGCGUUACGAGAGAGCACGAUUUUAUUAGUGUCAAAAUUAACGUUACGAGAGAGUAGGGUUGUAUGAAUGUCAAAGUUAACGUUACGAAACAGAAAAGUUCUAUGUAGGUCAGAUUUGACGUUACGAGAGAGUAGGAUUGUAUUUAUUUCAGCGAUGACGUUACUGGAGAGUACGGUUGUAUGUACAUCAACGCUGACGGUUGUAUGUAGGUCAACAUUAACGUUACGGGACAGUAGUGUUGCAGGCAUCGUAAACGUUGAGAGAAUUUGCAGGGCCGUUAUAGUUUUAUAGUUUAUAUAUUUUGGUGAAAAUUCACACUUUGUAAGCGUGUUCUCUAUGGAUUCUCCGGACCAAGUGGAUAUCCGUUGGUGUUUUAGUUAAUCUCUUGACGUAGAUGCGUUGCCGUUUUAGUUUAUCGAAUCAAUUGGAGUGUAGAGUAAGGAUUGCUUUAUAAUAAUCAUUGGAUCGUGAAGUUCAUGCAGGCAAACGUUAUGGUUACGGUUGGACUUCUCCUAUCGAAAAGUACAAUUCAUACAUAGUAAAUCAAAUGUUUAUUUUUUAUUUUUCUUGGGAAAGGGCAAUACUUAAUAAACUGUGCUGUUUGUGAUGAUGCUAUGGCGCUACAUAAAUCUGCUGAAAUGGUCUGAGUUUAAAUAGUACUAUCUGUCAAAAGUUCAGUUUGUAUCAAUACAGACGGUUGAUACAGAAAUAAGACUCUCCUGUCGGCAUAAAAUUCAGAAAAUACAACACUUUCGUCGCAGCCGAGAUAAAUACGACAGUAUCAGGGGCGGAUCCAGCCAUUUUAAAAAGGGGGUUCCCAACCCAGGAUAAAGGGGGGGUCCAGCUAUAUGUCCCCAUUCAAAUGCAUUGAUCGGCCAAAAAAAGGGGGUUCCAACCCCCGGAACACCCCCCCCCUGAGUCCGCCAAUGAGUAUCUACUAAAGUUUCUGUCGGUAACAACCGAACGGCAAUUUUAGUGGACAUUUUUUUGUCUGUUACAAUCAAAAUGGGGUAAAUGCUCCCAAAAGUAUCUGGGUUUUUUUUAAUACGGGGAUUUUGCAUGUUUCUCAUACAAUUUGGCAAUCCGAUUCAAUUUUCUCUAAUUCAACAUACGACUUUAUAAGACAGGUUACAAAAUGUGUUUUCAGAUUAGAUAACGGAGAAUUUUGUAAACAAAGACUAAUGUCAUGUGUCUGUCUUUGUUAGUUUCACUGAUUCACAUCGCAAUCUCACUAAAAACCGAUCUCGCAUCUUUUCCGUUUUUAUGUGUCCUAUAGAAUUGCCCGCAUCUCAUCUUGCGUUGUAACACAUUUUAUUUUAUUUUAAUUUUUUUUUUUUUUUGGGGGGGGGGAUUGUUUCGGUUUCGAUUACGAUGCCAAUAUCGUACCGAAUAUUCAAUUUCUUUUUAUAGCUGAUUAUUACUCAAUGUUAAACAAUUGACUGCCGUAAGAUUCAGAAUUAUUUUUAUCAUUUUAAUUUCAAAAAAUAGGUAAUGAAUGCUAUUUUAAUUAAUUGCUACUUUUUUGGAAUUCAAAUAAAUAUUCAAAAUAAUGAACGAUUUUGGAAACUUAAAAUGUACGUUUUUUUAAAACCGCAAAUGGCAAUUGCAAAGUAUUAUUUCUACCUCUAAAUGACUAGUAUAGUAUGCAGUAGAAUAGUCAUGGCAAACAUAAGUCCUAAUACAAUAAAUGGUGUAUGUUUAAUUACAUUAGCACUGUGCAUGUACGUUUCAUAUAUAUCCUUUUAUAUGUUUCAUUACAAUUCUAUUUACGUAUCUCAUUAGGGAACUAAGGGAUGAAAUCGACAAAUGUCUUUCAUCAAGAAAAACCAAUACACAAGUCCACCUGUUUGUUUUAAGAGACACCAUUUUAAUCAAUAUUAACGUGUGGAGAAAAAUCGCAACCUACUAUGACAUAUUCGUAAUUAGAAAGAUAUUCCUUUUGAACCUGAUAAAUCUGACAUUAUUAUUAUUGGUAAAUAUCUACCAAUGGAAUAAACGUUUGGAUGACUCUGACUGACCUGUGUCUUUGAAGUGUUUUAGUGGUGGAAACAGCAACGGUUGAGGAUGUUAGUGAGGGUAAGUCGUUUAGUGUUUGAUAUUCAAUUCAAAAUCUUAAUUAUUAAAAGCGUUUUGAUGCACAAGAUUAACUCCAAAACGUUAAGGUAGACCUCUUUUAAAAAAUUACCCAAAAAUGGUAUCUUUGAAAGAACUCCUACAUUGAUUAAUUUAAAAGAUGUCGUGAUUCUGAAAUAGAUAAUAAUUUACUUAUAUGUAUAUGGAAAGGUAUAAUUGUCAUCAGUGUAUCUGUAGGAUAUCGAUUUUGGAUCCACAGAUUUUGUUAAUACUUAAGUAAUAUCAGAAACAUAAAUAUAAUAUGAUUGUAUAUCUCUGGUAAUUUAUAUACGUGCAGGAAUGUAGAAAUAUUUUGAUAUUUAUCUGAUUUUCAUUAAUAAUGAGGAAAAUUAAAGAAUGAAUUUAAAUUGUGUCAUUUGUGUGUGUAUGUUUGUUGUUUUCUGUUCUUAGGGAGCUACCAUUUGAUUUUUAGGGGGGGCUAGGAUGAAAUUUGAAAAAAAUAGGCAGGACAGGAGUUUUGAGUAAGAAAAAAAGGCAGGAUGAGCAACUUGUUAAAAAAAAAGGCAGGAUGACAAUUUGUGUAAAAAAAGUCAGGAUAACUAGUAAAAAAAAAGGCAGGACCGAAUAGAGUAAAAAAUAAAAAAGCAGGACAGAGAUUACAACUAAAAAAAAAGCAGGACAAAAUUUUUCAUCCUAGCCCCCCCC